rnacentral:rRNA from 1 species
GAUGAACGCUGGCGGCGUGCCUAAUACAUGCAAGUCGAGCGAACAGACGAGGAGCUUGCUCCUCUGACGUUAGCGGCGGACGGGUGAGUAACACGUGGAUAACCUACCUAUAAGACUGGGAUAACUUCGGGAAACCGGAGCUAAUACCGGAUAAUAUAUUGAACCGCAUGGUUCAAUAGUGAAAGACGGUUUUGCUGUCACUUAUAGAUGGAUCCGCGCCGCAUUAGCUAGUUGGUAAGGUAACGGCUUACCAAGGCAACGAUGCGUAGCCGACCUGAGAGGGUGAUCGGCCACAAUGGAACUGAGACACGGUCCAGACUCCUACGGGAGGCAGCAGUAGGGAAUCUUCCGCAAUGGGCGAAAGCCUGACGGAGCAACGCCGCGUGAGUGAUGAAGGUCUUCGGAUCGUAAAACUCUGUUAUUAGGGAAGAACAAAUGUGUAAGUAACUAUGCACGUCUUGACGGUACCUAAUCAGAAAGCCACGGCUAACUACG